GACGAACGCUGGCGGCGUGCUUAACACAUGCAAGUCGAGCGGAGCGGCGAACGGGUGAGUACCGCGUGAGUAACUGCCCCCCUCUCUGGGAUAACAGUUGUAAACGGCUGCUAAUACCGGAUAGUGGGGGAUGACUCGCGUCCUAUCAGCUUGUUGGUGGGGUAGUGGCCGACCAAGGCGACGACGGGUAGCCGGCCUGCGAGGGCGACCGGCCACAUGGGGCUGAGAUACGGCACAAAGUCCUACGGGGGGCAGCAGUGGGGAAUAUUGCACAAGGGGGCAAACCAUGAGGCAGAAACGCCGGGUGCGGGAUGAAGGCCUUCGGGUUGUAAACCGCUUUCAGCCAUGACGCGGUAGUGGCAGAAGAAGCACCGGCUAACUACGUGCCAGCAGCCGCGGUAAUAC
rnacentral:rRNA from 1 species